AAGUGGUUGGACUAGAUGACACCAGCGAGAAUCGAUAUUGGCGAAAAAUUAAAGGGAGCAUUUCCGAAUGAUUGCAGUAAAGUUAUCAAGGACGCUAAACAAUGGGCACAAGAGGUCAAAAAAUUGCGAGGAAACGUGGUAAAAAUUGGGUGAAUAAGUAUUGACACUGGAAAGAUUAGGAACGAUAUAGAAUCAACAUCUCGCCAUUAUUGG